AAUCUGGUGCAAUUAAAAACGAGAGUUUUUAAAUACCUCGCUUGAAAUUUUACUUGUUUUUCCAACUCGCCGUCCAAACUACCCGGUUUUACGCGUUUCAUCGUCCGUGACAUAUCACAAGUUUUAUCACCACGAUACAGGGCUUGAAUUGUUCUUCUUAGACGAGGAGCAAGUGUUCGUUAGCCAACAGUUGUCGGAAGACGGUCAAAGUUGUAAGAGCCGUGGAGGUAAGGGCGUUCCUGUGUGUGUCUUACCGUGGGCCAGGCGGACCAAAGUGGGCAGACGGAACUUGCUGACCACCGCGUCCAACGGCAGCGCUAACGGGCUCCAGGAGAUCUCCGACAGGCUCGCCGACAACUUCUCCAUCCUCCCGGGUCAUCACUGUGCCGGAGAUGAGGAGGAGGAGGGUGAAGAUGAUGGUGGCGGUGCUUGUUUGGUUGAAGGUGAGUAUGAUUGAGGUGGAGGUGUUGGUGGAGUAGUAAGCUUUAAGACUUUCGCCAUGUUUGAAUGGAGGAGAGAAGGAUCAGCAGGAGUGUGCGCGCCUGUGGAGGGAGGGCUUUAACAUUCCCCCCUCCUCCGCUCCCUGUACGUGCACGUGAACUACAAGUAGCGCCCCCCCCCCAAAAAAAACUCACUUUAGAAUAACCACAACACGAACGAAUCAUCCCACAUGCUUGAUAUUGAGCCACAACAUUAGGUACACCUGCACAAGCCAAUGGUAUUGAAGUACUCCACCAGAUGGCACUGUUUGUCUCGCUUUCAAAUACAAUUUUAUAUUUCAUACAGAGCGGUGAUUAAUAGUGAUUCUCUUUAUAGGAUGAAUUUUAGCUUGUGCAGUCUAUAUAUAUAUUUUCCAAGCAAUUUGAAUUGCCAUUACUGAAUGAAUAUAGGCGAAAUGUACCGGAAGUUAUUGAAUUUUAAAACAUUUAAUUAAAAAAAAGACACAUUUGUUGCUCACAACAAAAAAUGUCUCAUGAAAAUGCCACAUUUUGUAAAUAAACUAAUGAAAUCGUUUGUUAGUAUUUUAAUUGGGACUACUGCUUGUUAUUUUCAAUUAAUUGUCCACGAGAUGGCAUUAUUUUCCCCAUCCAAAGCAUACGUCAAAAUGUGCAUCUCUAUUGAUGUUACUUCUAAGGGUGUAUGUUUUAAAAAAGGGUAUUUUUAUCGCAGUUUUUUGGAGACGCUGACACUUUUUUCCCAGAAGAUCCAAAAGAGUUUUUGUUUUAAACCUGACACUGAAGGAUGAGUAUCAAUAAAAGAAAACCAACGUUGCUGCCGAUCAUUGACCCAUCUCAGCGCCUAAUACGAAAAUGUUAUUGAAUUUGAAGGUUCAUCGAACAGUAGCCUUGUUUACCAUUUACAGUAAUGUAUAUGAACUGUAUGUAUAUGUAAUGUCCAAUAGUCAAUGUGGUGGUUCUGCUAAGGCAUUUGUGACAUAACAUCGGUACCAUUGGGAGGAAGACGCAAUGUCAGAAAAGCGCCUACACAGCAGACCAGUGAGUGACUCAUCCUGACAAGACCAAUUAUCUCAGAGAGUCCUGCUACCGUGGGUAAGUAAGAUCUACAUACUGUACACACCAGCCGCUUGAUUAGGUACACGGGCUAGUAAUGAUGCUCACAGCCAUGCAGUACUUCAACAAAACAAUACUGCGGGGAAACGGCACACGUGAGCUUCAUGUCGUAAUUACGCUUAUGCUGCUGUAUUAAAUAUGUGGCAAAGCACACACUAUUGUUUGGCAUCGUCAGGAGCUUGUGGGGUUUGUAGCUUUGUUGGAACAUCUGUGUGGCUUCCGCCACAUUCCAAAAUUAUGCAUGGUAGGUUAAUUGGAGACUCUACAUUGACUAUGAAUUAAUACAGAAUGUCCAUGAAUGUGAGUGUGAACGGUUGUCUAUAUGUGCCCUGCAAUUGGUUGGCAACCGGUCCAGGGUGUACCCCGCUGGGAUAUGCUCCAGCAUACCCGCGGCACUAGCGAGGACACGCGGUAUCGAAAAUGGAUGGAUAUAUCAACAAAAAAUGGGGAAUCUUGGGCCCCACACAGGUGACAAUUUAAUUCAUAAACAAUGAAACUUGGUUGACAAUUUUAUUAAUUCCAUAUUAACAAGAUGUCCGUGAAUCGGGAAUGGGCGGUCAGAUUUACAGCAGGUGGGGUUGGUCAGUGGGCUUUCAAACCUAAUGAGCUGGCUCUGCAAAAAGAAAACACUCAUUUAGGACAACUUGGCUUAAAAAAAAAAAGAAAAAAAAAAGUCUAUGCAAUAUUUGCUCAGAAAAAAAUUAUUUAUUUUAGUGACAUGACAUCUAGAGGAAAAGAUAUGCAACUGCAAACUCCACAAAACAACCUCAUUCAAUUCCAAAAUGCAUUAUUUACAUUGGCCAUAGCAAGCAUGGGUUACUACUCUGUAAAAUGAUUACUACUAUUAAAAAACAAUACUGUCAUAAAUAAAGAUAAGUGAUGUUUACUUACUGGCCUUCACAGCCUUCUUGCCUGGAAUGAGGACAGAAAACACAUUGUUAUCACUAACAUCAUUUUCCAUUAAUCCACAUGCCUUUUAGAAAUAUGAUUUGUUUGGAUUGCUGGCAUUUCACCCUCAAAAUCUUGCGCAAAAGGAAAGAUGUCUAUUGACCUAUCAAAUCCUCAACUCACCUCCAUAGGAGAUCUUGUAGUAGAGGAUAGUCAUGAUGCCAAGGCCCACCCACAUCUCCGGAUAUGCCUUGGUGUAGUAUGGGCCCAACUUGGACCACCAAUUUGCCAACAUGCGUCCGGCCAUCUGUGGGAAGAAGCAAAAUCAGAAAUCAAUAUUCACAAUUCAUUCACUUGCUUCUGCUCGUUAGCCUAAAAGCUGAAAGAACUGAGGAACUACAAUCAUUUUAAUAUCUGCAGUGGAAAGUGACACAGCUAACACAUUAUAUUGUUGCACCCAUUAUGCUAGCAUGACCCUCAGCUGUGUAAAUGUUACUUAAAUGUUGCACACACGUGCUUGUCAGUCCCUUAAGGCUUAACACCCUAAAGUUACAGUGGGUGUAUUGUAGAGCGCAAUGAGCUGUGUGUGGGAAAUUUCAAGUCUUUUAUGACUUAUGGGGAAAAACACCACUGGCAAAGACAACAAGGGUUCAAGUUUUGCCUCUGUCAAAUGCUCAAUCACUUGAAUACUAUUUGUAGUUUAUUGUGACAAAGUUAAACUAUUGCUGCACCCUAAAUGCUAGCAUGACCCUCUUUUGUAUAGGCUGGCAAAUUAUUUGAUUGAUUGUAAUUGAUCACGAGUAUGGUAUGUCCAACCUAGCGAAUGCUAAACUAGCUUAGCUAUAUGUUAGCUAGCUUAAGCGUACACAUGCGUGUAGCAAGCACUACAUGGUUAAAUAUACUUCCACUUCCUAGAGACUGUGAAGUGCAAGGUCAGUAUAUGACAAAAAUCAUUUAAAAUGUGUAGACAUUACCUUUGUGUUUCUCACGCAGGAGAGAGAAGGUCAAGCUAGCACCAGUCAGUCGCCCGAUGUCAAAGUCGUGGUGGAGAAGCUUCUUCUACGCUAAAUGAUGCGGUUUUCCUCUUGAGCGCCACCGAAUGGAAUGAUAUGGUACCACACUUGCUUUAGGCAUUCUUAAUCCUGUGCUUACUCUUGGGUUGACAUUUCUGAAUUUGUAGUAUUAUUAAUGGUAGAAUCAUCACAAUAAAAACACGAAAUAUUACAUUUUUAUUUUGAAUUAAUAUAGUGAAUAAUAAAUGACAAUGAUAAUACUGAGAGAGGAUAUGUUUGUUUUUAAUUAGCAAUUGUUUCUCUGUAACCCUACACUAAUCUGAUGAAAUGCUUGACUGACCCUGACCUUCAACCUAGUGGACAUUUCUUUACACAGCAGGGGAUAGAAACUUCGCCGCAGGGGAGCAACUACCAUGCUGGCCUGGUUCAAGCCAAGCAAAAACCUCCAUCAGAAAACAAGCAGAAUCAGGUUCGAACAUGUCGUAUUAUAUCAGGUUUGUGACAUGGUGAAUUCUCAAUCAGCCAGGGCAGGAUCUGUCGUACGAGAUGAAAGACCACCUACAGACUGUAAUCAUGGCCCAGCAGCAGCUACUACUACAGAACUUGCAGACUUCCUUGUCAGGCGUCCAGCUCAACAGGAGAGACAGCAUCAUGCAAGCAGGAAGUUUUAACCCCAUGAAGACAAUCUGCAGCCAGUGGACAUUUCCUCCUUGACUGACUGAUAUCCAACUUACACGUCUAAACCAGGGCUGAGCAAACUACGGCUCAGGUGCCACAUCCGGUCCGCCAGUUGCUUCCGAAGGAUCCAGACAACUACCUCACCCGUGGUGCCAAACAAACACAAGUCAGCAAAUAUGUGACACACAACUUAACGUACCCGCUGCACUGUGUGGGAAGUAAAAAGGAGGGACGUUCACACCCCACCCCUGGUCUAAACCCACUGAAAUUGAGCCAUUGUCACAUUAUUUACGUCCAUCUUCUCAAGGGACUGGAGUGGGUUCAGUCAGCUGCCCACUCCCUGAAUCACUUCCUGGAUGCAGCGAUGGAAGUCAAGACGGGGAUGCCAAAGCAGGAGGUUGUCAGAUAAGAGCAGGAGAGACAAUCUUGGCCGGAGCUGCAAACUACUUUGGAAGAAUAUGAUGACACUGGUGGCAAUUUAGAUACAGCCGGAGAUGCAGGACAAUAAGAGUCCACCAGAACCAAGCCUUUGCAGGAGACGAAACAAGUGGCCUCUUCAGGUCCAAGCACAGCGGCGUCCCCUAUGUCGGCGGGAGGAGAAUGACACAAGGACACAAACUCAGGAGCCGAGAAGAAGCAGCCAAAGUGAGCAAGAGUGCUUGAUCCAGAGGAGAGUGGACUUGAUAGGAACUCUCGUUGAGAUAAAGAUUGCAGCUGAGCAGUUUGGCCCACCUUACCUGCUGUACAGCGUAGGAAACGUGCCUUGAAGAGCCUGCAAGGCCAACUUGCUCGUUACGUCUCUGAGCUGCAGCAUUCAUGUGAUACGUCAUCUCAAGCUGGAACCACCACAGACAGGCAACACAUGGAGUUAGCAUCUGUAUGGCAAGGGACAACAAAAGCUGUGACUGAACGGCUGGAGCAGUGUUGUGUCCUAAAAGAGUUGCUGAGGAGGUUUCAGGUGCUCCGUGGUGAGGUGGAUGGGACACUGCAGAAAGCAGAGAGCACCAUUCAUGAAAAAGUCUCUUAUAUUGGGAAAGAUAACACGCAGCGACUACACAUGAAGGUUCAGGAAACAAAAGCAGAGCUAAGUGGUCUUGAGGACACUUUAAAGGAAAUACGCAUUAUUUGCUGGAAACUUAACAUGAAUUUACAGCAGAUCCCUGAAUGCAACCUCAACCCUUUUGAGAGGGAAGCAGAUGCUCUCAUGGACCACUGGUUAGAUAUAUCAGAAAGAACUGAUUCCCACCUUGAGAUCUUACAUCUUGGCGUUAGUCUGUGGGACUGGGUGGUGCAGCUGGGGGUGGAGGUAGACAACUGGGCAAAAAACAAGCUUGCACAUUUUGCUCCCUCCCCAGAAUUCUGCACAGAGGUAGACGUGAAGGCCUUGCAGAAUGAAAUUAGGUCUCAAGAGGGGAAUAUGGAGUGUUUCCACAGAAGAGCUACUGAGGUUGGAGUGCUUCUUCAGAGUACAGAGCCCCCUCUUGAGCUGCAGGUGAUGGAGAGCCAGAUGAGAAAUAAGGUAGAGGAGUUUAAAAAUCUUGUCACUGAAGCACUUUCCAGGCAGACUAAAAGACAAACAAAUGAGAAGGACUUCUUCCUUGGCCUUAGUGGCUCAGAUCCUGCAGAAACUCCAACAAAAGUCGAGGAUCUACAUUAUGAUCUCCAGACACAGGACCUGCGCUCAAAAAGCCCUUUGACUGAGGUGCAUGCUGUGUCCUCCAUAUUGCGUCCAGAAAGCCAUCACAGUCUCUACUCAGAGGAGAACUGCCUGUGGGUUAAAGUUCAACAAGACACACGUCAGCAAAAGACACAUAUGGAUGUUCUCCACAGGCUGCAGAAAGCAAGUGAGCAUUUGGAGCAAUGGUCGCAUGCUGCUGAGCUAAAAGAAGAAAAAAAGGGACAUUUGUGGCUUUUACAAGAGGAAACAUAUCAGCAAAGGGCGAAACACCACUUGAGGAGCUAAGAUUCAUUGAAAAUAAUAAGAGCCAGCGAGGGCGCGAUGGAGACGACCUGAAACAGGAAAUUCAAGACUGCAGUCAGAAAACAAAAGAAAGGUGGAAGGAGGCUCUGCAGCCAGUCAAGCCUUGUCUCAGCCAGAGGUACCACGAGACCUGGACACGGCUUCUUUCUGGCCCGCCAAGUCCGGUGUGAGCUGCACUUGAGUCUCAGCAGUGUACCUAAACGGGAGAAAUCACUGCCUGGUCCACCUGAAAGUAAACUAAAAUGGACUGAAGCAUC